AACGUAGGAGGCGAGCGUUAUCCGGAAUCACUGGGCGUAAAGGGCGUCUAGGCGGAGGGACAAGCGAGGUGUGAAAGCUCCCGGCUCAACUGGGAGAGUGCGCUUCGAACUGUCCGUCUUGAGGGAAGCAGAAGGGGGUGGAAUUCCCGGUGGAGUGGUGAAAUGCGUAGAGAUCGGGAGGAACACCAGUGGCGAAAGCGGCCCCCUAGGCUUUACCUGACGCUGAAGCGCGAAAGCGUGGGGAG
rnacentral:rRNA from 1 species